AUUGAACGCUGGCGGCAGGCCUAACACAUGCAAGUCGAACGAGUGGCGGACGGGUGAGUAAUGUCUGGGCAACUGCCUGAUGGAGGGGGAUAACUACUGGAAACGGUAGCUACUACCGCAUACCUUCGGAUAGGCCCAGAUGGGAUUAGCUAGUAGGUGGGGUAACGGAUCACCUAGGCGACGAUCCCUCGCUGGUCUGAGAGGAUGACCAGCAACACUGGAACUGAGACACGGUCCAGACUCCUACGGGAGGCAGCAGUGGUGAAGAUUGCACAAGGGGCGCAAGCCUGAUGCAGCCAUGCCGCGUGUAUGAAGAAGGUCUUCGGGUUGUAAAGUACUGUCAGCGGGGAGGCGUUACCCGCAGAAGAAGCACCGGCUAACUCCGUGCCAGCAGCCGCGGUAAUAC
rnacentral:rRNA from 1 species